UUCUUUGUUUAGGAAUUUUUAAGAAAAAGCAAUUGUGUCGCAGAACAAAACGAUGGCUAAAACAGUAAUUUUAAAAAGGCAUACAACACAUAUAAAAUUAUUUUUAAGGUUAAAGAAAGAUUUUUAUAACAGAAUUAAAAUCUUCUAAUUUUAAAGCAAUAUUAGGCGAACCCAAAUACAUGCCAUUGUACAAUGUAGAAUUUAAUGUUAAAUCAUCUCUAUGUUAAAAUAACAAAAUAUAAACAUUGUCAAUUGGAAGAACGAUUCAAAAUAAGCAACUCGACCUAGAUGAAUGAAAUAGUACAAUACAUGCCAUUUUGUUGCUGAAUGAUAAGCUAAGAUUUUGUUGAAUUUUGGCUUAGUUGCAUUCGGAAAUAUAUUUACAACAUUUUGAGCACACCCUCCAAGCACCCAAUUUAUAACCAGACUUUCUUAUCUCAAACCCAAGCCAAAGAUAUUACAUUGUAUUGUGUGUAUAAAAUCCGAAGAAGGGGCAUUUAUUUCGCUAAAGAUGCGCGUGGAAUCGUGAACUACAUGUAAUCUCUUUCCGGUCCGGGGGCCACCUGCCGCUUUCUAGGAUCCCACGAUGAUGUUGUUAAUGGGAAUGUGAAUCAGCUUGACGAAGAAGCCGAUGAAGCCCAUGAUGGCGAAGCCCACGGCGGUGGCGAUGGCGAUUUUCUGGAACUCCUUGCGGUCGGGUUUUGUGCAGCGCUUCACCAGGCGGAUUGAGUC
ensembl:ncRNA asRNA:CR45264 antisense RNA:CR45264